rnacentral:rRNA from 1 species
UACGUAGGCAGCGAGCGUUGUUCGGAAUCACUGGGCUUAAAGCGCGUGUAGGCGGAAGGGCACGUCCGUUGCUGAAAUCCCCCGGCUCAACCGGGGAACGGGCGCGGAUACGACUCUUCUGGAGGGGCGUAGGGGGACCUGGAACUUCCGGUGGAGCGGUGAAAUGCGUUGAGAUCGGAAGGAACGCCCGUGGCGAAAGCGAGGUCCUGGACGCCUACUGACGCUGAGACGCGAAAGCCAGGGGAGCGAACGGG